rnacentral:rRNA from 1 species
CUGAACCAGCCAUGCCGCGUGCAGGAAGACGGUUCUAUGAAUUGUAAACUGCUUUUCUACAGGAAGAAACCACCUUAUGCGUAGGGUGUUGCCGGUACUGUAGGAAUAAGCAUCGGCUAACUCCGUGCCAGCAGCCGCGGUAAUACGGAGGAUGCAAGCGUUAUCCGGAUUCAUUGGGUUUAAAGGGUGCGUAGGCGGAAUAGUAAGUCAGUGGUGAAAUCCUGCGGCUCAACCGUAGAAUUGCCAUUGAAACUGUUAUUCUUGAAUGUAGUUGAGGUGGGCGGAAUGUGUAAUGUAGCGGUGAAAUGCAUAGAUAUUACACAGAACACCGAUUGCGAAGGCAGCUUACUAAGCUAUGAUUGACGCUGAUGCACGAAAGCGUGGGGAGCGAACAGGAUUAGAUACCCUGGUAGUCCACGCUGUAAACGAUGAUCACUCGUUGUUUGCGAUAUACCGUAAGCGACUGAGCGAAAGCAUUAAGUGAUCCACCUGGGGAGUACGUCGGCAACGAUGAAACUCAAAGGAAUGGACGGA